UACGUAGGGUGCAAGCGUUGUCCGGAAUUAUUGGGCGUAAAGAGCUCGUAGGCGGUCUGUCGCGUCGGCUGUGAAAUCCCGAGGCUCAACCUCGGGUCUGCAGUCGAUACGGGCAAACUUGAGUGUUGCAGGGGAGACUGGAAUUCCUGGUGUAGCGGUGAAAUGCGCAGAUAUCAGGAGGAACACCGGUGGCGAAGGCGGGUCUCUGGGCAACAACUGACGCUGAGGAGCGAAAGCGUGGGGAGCGAUCCGG
rnacentral:rRNA from 1 species